rnacentral:lncRNA from 1 species
GCGUCACUUACGAUAUCAACUUGGCAGCCAUUUCCGUAGAAGAAUUGGAAGAAAUGGCAACUUCCUGCGGUAUGAAAUUUCCAGUAACUAACACACUAAUAUAAUCACUGCUUCAGCAUGUUUUCUUCAGUUUAAAUUCUAUUUUGCAAUGCAAUCAUUGCUGCAUUCUCUUUUACUAUUUUAUAGGAGGCCUCUGAAGCAUCGUUCUUGUGCAAAAUUUUAAGUAAUUUAUCCAAGUCCUCCUAAAAAAUUUAAUUGAAAAAUUAGUAGUGGUAUUUCUUGAAGAAAAUAAGGUACAUAUGAGUGAAAAUUUGAGAACACUGCAAUCAAUAUUCACGGUUUUAUAGUCUCACUGUCAAAAUGAAGAGUCGUACCUCAUAUUUUAGCUUCAUUUUUAGAGUGUGCUGCAUGGAGAUAGAUCUUCAUUUUUUGUUUAACAUAAGAUUUUUUAUUUUGCACUGCAGGCAAAGAACUCACAGCUCCACACGAAGUGACAACUUCAAAAAUCGGAAACUCAGUUGCUGCUCCAAGGGUGCUGUUUUCUAAUGCCAUCCCAAGAAUGCCAGAAAAUCUCAACUCUCACCCAAGAAUGCCUACUGCUCCUAUUUUGUUGGAUUAAAAAAAAACUUGCCCUAGACCGUUGAAUCCGCUUCCAAGAAUGUCAUUACAUUCUAAGAAAGAUCUAGUCAAAGAUAAAAAACAUUCCCCCGAAGGAGACACAGAAAAGGUUUCAGGAAAGGUUGCAACAAAAAGAGCAGCAGGGAAAGAAAAUUCAGUGUCACCACCAUCAGCAGGAAAAAAUAAAAAGCCACUACGAAUGCAUGAUGCCUACAUUGAAUCUUCUAAAAUGUUUACAAAUGGUUUGGAUGAAAUGCGGAGGACAAAAGAGGACAACGUCUCUGCAAUUAAAGAGCUGACAGAAGCAGCCAGAAAUCUUACCAAUGCCAUUUUGAAACUGGCGGAAGUAGGAGAAAAAUUUGUCAGCUUCCUCAGCACAGACGGAAAUAACAACAAUUGUGACGAUUAG